GAUGAAGAACGUAGCGAAAUGCGAUAAGUAAUGUGAAUUGCAGAAUUCAGUGAAUCAUCGAAUCUUUGAACGCACAUUGCGCCCGCCAGUAUUCUGGCGGGCAUGCCUGUUCGAGCGUCAUUUCAACCAUCAAGCCCCCGGCUUGUGUUGGGGACCUGCGGCUGCCGCAGGCCCUGAAAACCAGUGGCGGGCUCGCUGUCACACCGAGCGUAGUAGAUUUUCAUCUCGCUCAGGGCGUGCUGCGGGUUCCGGCCGUAAAAAGCCUUAUUUACCCAAGGUUGACCUCGGAUCAGGUAGGAAGACCCGCUGAACUUAAGCAUAUCAAUAAGCGGAGGU
rnacentral:misc_RNA from 1 species